rnacentral:sRNA from 1 species
AGAUGUGAUGGUGAUCUGGAUGUAGCAGACCCUACUAAUGGCCAGGAUUGUUUCAGGUGAUCUGGUUAGCUAGGUGGGUGUCUCCUCCCACUCCCACUGCUUAGCAUUUGUCCCUCCCUAGGCUGCACACUGAAGGGAACCAUUUCCCCAGACAAAGGAGUACUUGCCUACCCUGGAGGCUAUUCCAAGCUACUCCCCUGCUAGAUCUGCCAGCCAAGGUCUCCAGCAUAUUGUACUCUGUUAUCACAGGACCCAAGGAAAGCACACAAAACAGUUGAAUUUCAUGGUUUUC